AUUGGCUUCAGAGUGCGAACGC
rnacentral:miRNA from 1 species